CCCUUAGACGUUCUGGGCCGCACGCGCGCUACACUGACAAGUGCAACAAGCAUCCGUCCUUGGCCGACAGGCUCGGGCAAUCUUUGAACGCUGGUCGUGAUGGGGAUAGACUUUUGCAAUUUUUGGUCUUCAACGAGGAAUUCCUAGUAAACGCAAGUCAUCAACUUGCAUUGAUUACGUCCCUGCCCUUUGUACACACCGCCCGUCGCACCUACCGAUUGAAUGGUCCGGUGAAGCCUCCGGAUUGGCGCGCACCUCGGUGCCGCCGAGAAGUUGGCUAAACCUUACCAUUUAGAGGAAGGUGAAGUCGUAACA
rnacentral:rRNA from 1 species